rnacentral:rRNA from 1 species
UACGUAGGGGGCGAGCGUUGUCCGGAAUCAUUGGGCGUAAAGCGCGUGUAGGCGGCCCGGUAAGUCCGCUGUGAAAGUCCAGGGCUCAACCCUGGGAUGCCGGUGGAUACUGUCGGGCUCGAGUCCGGAAGAGGCGAGUGGAAUUCCUGGUGUAGCGGUGAAAUGCGUAGAUAUCGGGAGGAACACCAGUGGCGAAGGCGACUUCCUGGCCUGUUCUUGACGCUGAGGCGCGAAAGCUAGGGGAGCAAACGGG